UAUCAAAAGGGGUGCCUUAAUAUUACAGGCUGAGAUUACACCCUAAAACCUGAUCUGGAUAAUGCCAGCGUAGGAAAUUAAAGUUUA
rnacentral:ncRNA from 1 species